rnacentral:rRNA from 1 species
UACGUAGGGGGCAAGCGUUGUCCGGAGUUACUGGGCGUAAAGCGCACGCAGGCGGUCUGUUAAGUUUGGAGUGACAGUUGGUGGCUUAACUGCCAAAGUGCUUCGAAAGCUGACAGACUUGAGGGCUUCAGAGGGACACGGAAUUCCGGGUGGAGUGGUGAAAUGCGCAGAUAUCAGGAGGAACACCGGUGGCGAAGGCGGGUCUCUGGGCCGAUACUGACGCUGAGGAGCGAAAGCGUGGGGAGCGAACAGG